rnacentral:rRNA from 1 species
AACGAACGCUGGCGGCGUGUUUAAGACAUGCAAGUCGCACGGGAUAAGACAUGUAGUAAUACUUGUUUUAUUUAGUGGCGCAUGGGUGAGUAACACGUGAAUUACAUGCCCUAUAGUGGGGAAUAGCCCAGGGAAACUUGGAUUAAUACCCCAUGGUAUCGAAAGAUUAAAGGUGGCCGCAAGGCUGUCGCUAUAGGAUUGGUUCGCGCUAUAUCAGCUUGUUGGUGAGGUAACGGCUCACCAAGGCAAUGACGGAUACCUGGUCUGAGAGGACGCUCAGUCACACAUGCACUGAGACACGGUCCAGACACCUACGGGUGGCAGCAGUCGAGAAUAAUUCACAAUGGGGGCAACACGGAUUGUGCAACGGCGCGUGGAGGAUGACGGUCUUCGGAUUGUAAACUCCUGUCAUCUGGGAGAAAGACCUGACGGUAAAUAGCCGCCAGGGUUGAUAGUACCAGAAGAGGAAGGGACGGCUAACUUCGUGCCAGCCGCCGCCGUAA